ensembl:snRNA U2 U2 spliceosomal RNA
AUUGCUUUUCGGACUUUUGGGUAAAAUCAAUGUGUUCCUAUCAGUUUAAUAUCUGUAUACGUUGUCUAUCUGAGAACAACACGUUAAGUGGGUUUUGGGAGCAGAGAGGUGGCAGAGGGAGCCUGCUCCAUCCCUUCCACGCAUCGACCUGCUAUUGUAAUAUUUUUAAGAACGGUGCACCCCCU